ensembl:snRNA U6 U6 spliceosomal RNA
GUGCUCACUUUGGCAGCACAUGCAUUAAACUGUAACAAUACAAAGAAGAUUAGCAUGGCUCCUGCAUGAGAAUAACACACAAACUCAUGUUCCAUAUUUUU